rnacentral:rRNA from 1 species
CUACGGGGGGCUGCAGUGAGGAAUAUUGCACAAUGGGGGGAACCCUGAUGCAGCAACGCCGCGUAGAGGAUGACGCAUUUCGGUGUGUAAACUCCUUUUAUAUGUCAAGAAAAUGACGGUAGCAUAUGAAUAAGCACCGGCUAACUCCGUGCCAGCAGCCGCGGUAAUACGGAGGGUGCAAGCGUUACUCGGAAUCACUGGGCGUAAAGGACGCGUAGGCGGGUUGGAAAGUCAGGUGUGAAAUCCUACAGCUUAACUGUAGAACUGCACUUGAAACUUCUAAUCUAGAGUAUGGGAGGGGGAGAUGGAAUUAGUGGUGUAGGGGUAAAAUCCGUAGAUAUCACUAGGAAUACCUAAAGCGAAGGCGAUCUCCUGGAACAUUACUGACGCUAAGGCGUGAAAGCGUGGGGAGCAAACAGGAUUAGAUACCCCAGUAGUC